CGGAGGAUCCAAGCGUUAUCCGGAAUCAUUGGGUUUAAAAGGUCCGUAGGCGGUUUAGUAAGUCAGUGGUGAAAGCCCAUCGCUCAACGGUGGAACGGCCAUUGAUACUGCUAGACUUGAAUUAUUAGGAAGUAACUAGAAUAUGUAGUGUAGCGGUGAAAUGCUUAGAGAUUACAUGGAAUACCAAUUGCGAAGGCAGGUUACUACUAAUGGAUUGACGCUGAUGGACGAAAGCGUGGGUAGCGAACAGGAUUAGAUACCCUGGUAGUCCACGCCGUAAACGAUGGAUACUAGCUGUUGGGAGCAAUCUCAGUGGCUAAGCGAAAGUGAUAAGUAUCCCACCUGGGGAGUACGUUCGCAAGAAUG
rnacentral:rRNA from 1 species